rnacentral:rRNA from 1 species
GACGAACGCUGGCGGCGUGCUUAACACAUGCAAGUCGAACGGAAAGGCCCUGCUUUUGUGGGGUGCUCGAGUGGCGAACGGGUGAGUAACACGUGAGUAACCUGCCCUUGACUUUGGGAUAACUUCAGGAAACUGGGGCUAAUACCGGAUAGGAGCUCCUGCUGCAUGGUGGGGGUUGGAAAGUUUCGGCGGUUGGGGAUGGACUCGCGGCUUAUCAGCUUGUUGGUGGGGUAGUGGCUUACCAAGGGUUUGACGGGUAGCCGGCCUGAGAGGGGGACCGGGCACAUGGGGACUGAGGGACGGACCAGAAUGCUACGGGAGGCAGGAGGGGGGAAUAUUGCACAAUGGGCGGAAGCCUGAUGGAACAACGCCGCGUGCGGGAUGACGGGCUUCGGGUUGUAAACCGCUUUCGACUGUGACGAAGCGGGAGUGACGGUAAUGGGUAAAGAAGCAACGGCUAACUACGUG